rnacentral:rRNA from 1 species
CAUGCAAGUCGAACGAUGAACCACUUCGGUGGGGAUUAGUGGCGAACGGGUGAGUAACACGUGGGCAAUCUGCCCUGCACUCUGGGACAAGCCCUGGAAACGGGGUCUAAUACCGGAUACUGACCUGCCUGGGCAUCCAGGCGGUUCGAAAGCUCCGGCGGUGCAGGAUGAGCCCGCGGCCUAUCAGCUUGUUGGUGAGGUAACGGCUCACCAAGGCGACGACGGGUAGCCGGCCUGAGAGGGCGACCGGCCACACUGGGACUGAGACACGGCCCAGACUCCUACGGGAGGCAGCAGUGGGGAAUAUUGCACAAUGGGCGCAAGCCUGAUGCAGCGACGCCGCGUGAGGGAUGACGGCCUUCGGGUUGUAAACCUCUUUCAGCAGGGAAGAAGCGCAAGUGACGGUACCUGCAGAAGAAGCGCCGGCUAACUACGUGCCAGCAGCCGCGGUAAUACGUAGGGCGCGAGCGUUGUCCGGAAUUAUUGGGCGUAAAGAGCUCGUAGGCGGCUUGUCGCGUCGGUUGUGAAAGCCCGGGGCUUAACCCCGGGUCUGCAGUCGAUACGGGCAGGCUAGAGUUCGGUAGGGGAGAUCGGAAUUCCUGGUGUAGCGGUGAAAUGCGCAGAUAUCAGGAGGAACACCGGUGGCGAAGGCGGAUCUCUGGGCCGAUACUGACGCUGAGGAGCGAAAGCGUGGGGAGCAA